rnacentral:rRNA from 1 species
GAGUUUGAUCCUGGCUCACAAUGAACGCUGGCGGCGUGCCUAAUACAUGCAAGUCGAGCGGACCAACGGAGAGCUUGCUCUCCUGCGGUCAGCGGCGGACGGGUGAGUAACACGUAGGCAACCUGCCUGUACGACCGGGAUAACUCCGGGAAACCGGAGCUAAUACCGGAUAGGAUUUCAGACCGCAUGGUUUCUGGAAUGGAAAGACCCUGUGUCACGUACAGAUGGGCCUGUGGCGCAUUAGCUAGUUGGUGGGGUAACGGCCUACCAAGGCGACGAUGCGUAGCCGACCUGAGAGGGUGAACGGCCACACUGGACUGAGACACGCAGACUCUACGAGGCAGCAGUAGGAUCUUCCGCAUGACGAAGUCUGACCGACAACGCCGCGUGAACGAAGAAGGUUUUCGGAUCGUAAAGUUCUGUUGUUAGGGAAGAACCGCCGGGAUAACCUCCCGGUCUGACGGUACCUAACGAGAAAGCCCCGGCUAACUACGUGCCAGCAGCCGCGGUAAUACGUAGGGGGCAAGCGUUGUCCGGAAUUAUUGGGCGUAAAGCGCGCGCAGGCGGCUUCUUAAGUCAGGUGUGAAAGCCCACGGCUCAACCGUGGUGGGCCACUUGAAACUGGGAGGCUUGAGUGCAGGAGAGGAGAGCGGAAUUCCACGUGUAGCGGUGAAAUGCGUAGAGAUC